rnacentral:lncRNA from 1 species
UAAGGUUAUCCUCAGCUACGUGGUGAGAUGGAGUCCAGCCUGGGCUACAUGUGACCUUGUCUUAAACAAACAUGGAAGCAUGCUGGUAAAGAUACGAAACGACAGUCAAUUCUCCUCAUUGAAUGGAGCCCUUCUGCGUAAGACAGGUUCUGGGGAAUGUCUCACGCUGCGCCCUAGCAUGGCGGCAAAGUGGAAGACUGGGCAGGUGUGUGAAGGAAGAUAG